rnacentral:rRNA from 1 species
AGUGAACGCUGGCGGUAGGCCUAACACAUGCAAGUCGAACGGCAGCACAGUAAGAGCUUGCUCUUACGGGUGGCGAGUGGCGGACGGGUGAGGAAUACAUCGGAAUCUACUUUUUCGUGGGGGAUAACGUAGGGAAACUUACGCUAAUACCGCAUACGACCUACGGGUGAAAGUAGGGGAUCUUCGGACCUUGCGCGAUUGAAUGAGCCGAUGUCGGAUUAGCUAGUUGGCGGGGUAAAGGCCCACCAAGGCGACGAUCCGUAGCUGGUCUGAGAGGAUGAUCAGCCACACUGGAACUGGGACACGGUCCAGACUCCUACGGGAGGCAGCAGUGGGGAAUAUUGGACAAUGGGCGCAAGCCUGAUCCAGCCAUACCGCGUGGGUGAAGAAGGCCUUCGGGUUGUAAAGCCCUUUUGUUGGGAAAGAAAAGCAGCAGGUUAAUACCCCGCUGUUCUGACGGUACCCAAAGAAUAAGCACCGGCUAACUUCGUG